rnacentral:rRNA from 1 species
CAGUAGCCGCGGGAAUACGAAGGGUGCAAGCGUUAAUCGGAAUUACUGGGCGUAAAGCGUGCGUAGGCGGUGAGUUAAGUCUGCUGUGAAAGCCCUGGGCUCAACCUGGGAAUUGCAGUGGAUACUGGAUCACUAGAGUGUGGUAGAGGAUAGUGGAAUUUCCGGUGUAGCAGUGAAAUGCGUAGAGAUCGGAAGGAACAUCUGUGGCGAAGGCGACUAUCUGGGCCAACACUGACACUGAGGCACGAAAGCGUGGGGAGCAAACAGGAUUAGAGACCCCGGUAGUCCCUGUCUCUUAUAC